rnacentral:rRNA from 1 species
UAAUACAGAGGUCCCAAGCGUUGUUCGGAUUCACUGGGCGUAAAGGGUGCGUAGGUGGUGAGGUAAGUCGGAUGUGAAAGCUCCGAGCUCAACUCGGAAAUGGCAUUGGAAACUACCUUGCUAGAGGGUUUGAGGGGGGACUGGAAUACUUGGUGUAGCAGUGAAAUGCGUAGAUAUCAAGUGGAACACCAGUGGCGAAGGCGAGUCCCUGGAAAACUCCUGACACUGAGGCACGAAAGCUAGGGGAGCAAACAG